rnacentral:rRNA from 1 species
GGAUCCAGACUUUGAUUCUGGCUCAGGAUGAACGCUGGCGGCGCAUUUAAGACAUGCAAGUCGAACGAAAAUUUACGCUUAAAGAGUUGAUUAGUUUACUAAGAGAUGAUUUAUUGUAAAUUUUAGUGGCGGACUGGUGAGUAAUACAUAGGUAAUCUGCCUUUUAGAGGGGAAUAACUAGGAGAAAUCCUAGCUAAUACCGCGUAAGACCACACUUAGGCAUCUAAGAGAGGUCAAAGGAGUAAUCCGCUAAAAGAUGAGCCUGUGGCUGAUUAGUUAGUUGGUGGGGUAAGAGCCUACCAAGACGAUGAUCAGUAGCCGAGCUGAGAGGCUGGCCGGCCACAUUGGACUGAGAUACGGCCCAGACUCCUACGGGAGGCAGCAGUUGGGAAUAUUGGACAAUGGAGGAAACUCUGAUCCAGUGACGCCGCGUGAAGGAAGAAGGUCUUCGGAUUGUAAACUUAUUUUAUCAGGGAAGAAGAAAGUGACAGUACCUGAAGAAAAAGGACCGGCAAACUACGUGCCAGCAGCCGCGGUAAUACGUAGGGUCCAAGCGUUAUCCGGAUUUACUGGGUGUAGAGGGCGAGUAGACGGCGCUGUAAGUCAGCUGUGAAAACUUAGGGCUCAACCUUAAGCCUGCAGCUGAAACUGUAGUGCUAGAGUGCAGGAGAGGUAAGCGGAAUUCCUAGUGUAGCGGAGAAAUGCGUAGAUAUUAGGAGGAACACCAGUGGCGAAGGCGGCUUACUGGACUGUAACUGACGUUGAGGCGCGAAAGUGUGGGGAGCAAACAGGAUUAGAUACCCUGGUAGUCCACACCGUAAACGAUGGAUACUAGGUGUAGGCGAGAUAUCGUCUGUGCCGGCGCAAACGCAAUAAGUAUCCCACCUGGGGAGUACGGCCGCAAGGUUGCAACUCAAAGGAAUUGACGG